GUAUUUUCAUCCAACUUCAAUUAUAUUCCAGUUCCAGUCAAUCGAUUCCUCGCCUGCCUCGCCUUCAUCCUCCAAUGGAGAGAGAUGAUUGCUCGAACCUAGAUCGAAGCUCUUCCCCUUCUUUUCCUUACUAUGGUGAUUGGAACUUCGGUGUUGAUUCCAAUCUAAAGCCUAAGGUAAUGUAAAGUCCUAUGUUUUCAAGUGUUUCGAGAAUGGGUUCUUUGCCAAGAGAUUGUUGAUUUGAUCAGAUCUGUCUUUGGGGAUUUUGUAAAGUUCUCGCCUUUAUAAUUCGGGCAUUGCUAUAUGUACCUCAAGUAUUGUAAUCAAAGAGAUUGUUGAUUUGAUUUGAUUUUAUCAGAUCUGUCUCUGGUAUUUGUAAAGUUGGUAACUUUAUGAUUUGGGCAAUUUGCAGAUAUGUAUCACGACUAGCACAACUGGAUUGGAUCAGAUUCUACCGUGGAUGUUCUAUCAUAAGGUUCUUCGCAUCUCCACGUUUUUUCUUUUUGUAGAAGGGAAAGCUACUACGCCCACCAUUUCUAAAGUUCCCGAGUCUAUUCCUGUGAGUUCUAGCUUCUUAGACUCUUAGUCCUCUAGGUGUACGUUGACUAAGAUAAUUAUAUGCCCGGAUUUUUAAAAUUAGAAUCACUCUAUUAUCACUGAAGAAAGCUAAAGCGAGUGAAAAACUAUGCAUCUAAAGGUAAAAUAAAAUCACAAUUUUAUAUGUUUAAUUAUAUCUAUAUAUAUGACAAUAAUUUGGAUUGUAAAAAUGAUUUAGGGCUCAGCAUGUAUUCAAAUAUAUUUUCACUGAUAUUCCCUAACAGAUGAAGAUGUCAUCCAAUUUGGUAUCUCAGUAUCUUCAAAAGAAAUGACGGCAACUGAGAAAUACUAAAAGUGUUUUUUACUAAAAAUUUAAAUUAUUUAAUAUUUAUAGAAUGUAUAUAUUUAAUAAUUAUAUAUAUAUUUUAGUUUUCAUCUAAAUACUGAAUAUAUUAGUUUAUAAUAACAAAUUCAAUAACUUAAGAAAAAGAUGUAAAAUAUAUGUAACAUCGGGUUGAGACGAUAAGAAAUGAAUUAAUAACAAUCCUAAUUUUUUUUGGUUCUCUUUAACUGAAACGCUUCAUCUAUUCAUUUUCCUCAUGUGAAAGUUUUUGUUUUUUGGUAUCAUACAUUUUAACUUACAAAAUUGCUUCUUUUUUUUCUUUUAGUAGGCUUAGAAGAAGCACAAGUAUGAUGGUGUAAAACCGAAGAGACCAUAAAAAGAAAGGAGGAGGAAGAUAGAAAAAAGACGUGGAGAAAUCAAAGAAAGGAUUUUUGAUAAAAGUGUAUGCAGUCUAUAGUGCAUGGAGUUAAGUCAGAUGAUGUUGCUCGGUUACUGAAUCGUGCUCGCCACUACUCAGCUGUGCGCUCACAUGGCUUAUAUCAGCCGAGAAUAUAAGAAAAGGCGAUGCUGGUCCUUCCCGAAAAGUAUGGAGAAUGAGAUGUUAGGUGAAGCUUUUAAGAAGCUUAAGAACCCAUAUGAGGUAGUGAUGGUGGUUCAUCAUUUGUAUCGGCGCAUCAAGUUCAUCCAUCUCUGAUCUCCCUAGCUGUUUCUAUUGGGGAGAAGGAGUUGAAGGUAGGAGAGGAAGACUAGGAAGUGAUGCAGCUCCGUAUGAGACACCUACCAAUUGGCAGCCAAAACCAACAUGGAGGUGUUGUUAGAGGUGGUUGAGGAAGAGGCCAAGCUGGUGGUGGCAAAGCCGCAAAGACAAUAAAGGUGGCCUAGCUAAAUAUUGUUGUGCCUAAAAGUGAGAUUGAAAAAUGGAAUAAAAAGCUCUAACAUGGUAUUAGGAAGAACGUGUAGAUAACAAUAGCUGAAGGUUUUCUACAUUUGUGGAUCAUUGGGUGAACAUGCUCCUAUCUCAAGGAGCAUCCGGAGAGUUUAGAGUCUGCAACGAGUGUACGAUAGGAGACGGUAAUGAUGAUAGAGCUGAAUGAUAGCGGUGAAUGACUGACUCAUCACACGACCGGGAAGAAGUAUAAGCUGAAGGUGAAUGGUGAAGACGGACCAGUUAUUUUCUUAUGUAAGGAAGGCGGGAAGGAUUCCAUCUCCAUCAGUAACUUAACUCUCUUCACACUCAAGAUGGUGUGGUUACAGUUCUAUGUUCUCUCGACUCUUGAGUUGUUAGUUGUUUAUCUAAUGGUAAGAUAUUUUCUCUGUAUGUAAACUUGAUCGUCUACGAAUCAACCCUCAUGUAUUUUUGUUUCUAUUUGUCAGAACAGAGUAUGUCGAUGAUUUUAGCCCAUAAAA